CAAGGCAAAUAGCUGCAAUCCU
rnacentral:miRNA from 1 species